rnacentral:tRNA from 1 species
GCCCCCGUCGUCUAGAGGCCUAGGACACGGCCCUUUCAAGGCCGCGACACGGAUUCGAAUUCCGUCGGGGGCA